AUUGAACGCUGGCGGCAUGCCUUACACAUGCAAGUCGAACGGCAGCGGGGGAGAAGCUUGCUUUUCCUGCCGGCGAGUGGCGAACGGGUGAGUAAUACAUCGGAACGUGCCCUGUAGUGGGGGAUAACUAGUCGAAAGAUUAGCUAAUACCGCAUACGACCUGAGGGUGAAAGUGGGGGACCGCAAGGCCUCAUGCUAUAGGAGCGGCCGAUGUCUGAUUAGCUAGUUGGUGGGGUAAAGGCCUACCAAGGCGACGAUCAGUAGCUGGUCUGAGAGGACGAUCAGCCACACUGGGACUGAGACACGGCCCAGACUCCUACGGGAGGCAGCAGUGGGGAAUUUUGGACAAUGGGCGAAAGCCUGAUCCAGCAAUGCCGCGUGUGUGAAGAAGGCCUUCGGGUUGUAAAGCACUUUUGUCCGGAAAGAAAUGGCUCUGGUUAAUACCUGGGGCUAAUGACGGUACCGUAAGAAUAAGCACCGGCUAACUACGCGCCAGCCGCCGCGGUAA
rnacentral:rRNA from 1 species